rnacentral:rRNA from 1 species
CCUACGGGGUGCAGCAGUGAGGAAUAUUGGUCAAUGGACGAGAGUCUGAACCAGCCAAGUAGCGUGAAGGAUGACUGCCCUAUGGGUUGUAAACUUCUUUUAUAUGGGAAUAAAACGUUCCACGUGUGGGAUUUUGUCUGUACCAUAUGAAUAAGGAUCGGCUAACUCCGUGCCAGCAGCCGCGGUAAUACGGAGGAUCCGAGCGUUAUCCGGAUUUAUUGGGGUUAAAGGGAGCGUAGGUGGAUUGUUAAGUCAGUUGUGAAAGUUUGCGGCUCAACCGUAAAAUUGCAGUUGAAACUGGCAGUCUUGAGUACAGUAGAGGUGGGCGGAAUUCGUGGUGUAGCGGUGAAAUGCUUAGAUAUCACGAAGAACUCCGAUUGCGAAGGCAGUUCACUGGACUGCAACUGACACUGAGGCUCGAAAGUGUGGGUAUCAAACAGGAUUAGAUACCCCAGUAGUC